CACGUAGUUAGCCGGAGCUUUCUUGAAAGGUACCGUCACUCCUAAGUCAUUUCCUACUUAGUUCUUUCUUCCCUAACAACAGAAGUUUACAAUCCAUAGGACCGUCAUCCUUCACGCGGCAUUGCUCGUUCGGGGUUUCCCCCAUUGACGAAUAUUCCUAACUGCUGUCUCCCGUAGGAGUCUGGGCCGUGUCUCAGUCCCAGUGUGGCCGAUCACCCUCUCAGGUCGGCUACGCAUCGUCGCCUUGGUAAGCCAUUACCUCACCAACUAGCUAAUACGGCGCAGGCUCAUCUUCAAGCGAAGCUUUAAAGGCUUACCUUUAAUAUAAACAGACGCAUCUGCUUAUAUAUAAUCGGCAUUAGCAAUCUAUUUCUAAUUUGUUAUUCCAAAACUCGAAGGUAGAUUAACCCACGUGUUACUCUACCCUUGCGCCACUAGAUGGGAAUUCCAUUUCCAAUUUUGUGUCAAGCACUCAUCUUCAU
rnacentral:rRNA from 1 species